GGCCCCUUCGUCUAGUGGCCCAGGACGUCGGAUUCUCAGUCCGAAAGCAGGGGUUCGACUCCCCUAGGGGCUA
rnacentral:tRNA from 1 species